rnacentral:lncRNA from 1 species
CUCCUGUCUUCUUCGGGUCCUUAAUAGAACUCAAAACUAGGUUUCUUCUGUAUAUAAACUAUAUCUUUCUCUUCCUCAGAGAUUGAAUUGAAAGUCGACUGAAUGUGAUGAAAGGUUAUAUGCUUAACACAUGCAAGUCGAAUAUAGUAUGAAGGCUUUCUCUUCUAAAGGCAGGGGUGAGGACUCCAUUGCGGCAUUAAGUAAGGAGUUGGAGGAAAUCA